CCUACGGGAGGCAGCAGUGAGGAAUAUUGGUCAAUGGCCGCAGGGCUGAACCAGCCAAGUCGCGUGAGGGAUGACGGUCCUAUGGAUUGUAAACCUCUUUUGUCAGGGAGCAAAGGGCGCCACGUGUGGCGCUUUGCGAGUACCUGAAGAAAAAGCAUCGGCUAACUCCGUCCCAGCAGCCGCGGUAAUACGGGGGAUGCGAGCGUUAUCCGGAUUUAUUGGGUUUAAAGGGUGCGCAGGCGGAAUGUCAAGUCAGUGGUAAAAUUUCGGGGCUCAAGCCCGUCGUGCCGUUGAGACUGGCGUUCUUGAGUGAGCGAGAAGUAUGCGGAAUGCGUGGUGUAGCGGUGAAAUGCAUAGAUAUCACGCAGAACUCCGAUUGCGAAGGCAGCAUACCGGCGCUCAACUGACGCUCAUGCACGAAAGCGUGGGUAUCGAACAGGAUUAGAUACCCCAGUAGUC
rnacentral:rRNA from 1 species